rnacentral:misc_RNA from 1 species
CACCACUCAAGCUCAGCUUGGUAUUGGGGCCAUACUCGGCAACGAAUAUGCCCCGAAAAUUAGCGGCAGUGCAGCCGGACCUUCCCAGCGCAGUGACUUUUAAAACUCUCGCUACGGAAUUCGUCUGCUCUAGCCGAAAAUUCUCUCUUCUCUUCGUCCUCGGGCGAGGAGAAGGAGACAUUUUUUCCAAU